rnacentral:miRNA from 1 species
AAACCCUGAUGAACUUUUUG